rnacentral:rRNA from 1 species
GACGAACCGUGCGAACGUUAUUCGGAAUCACUGGGCUUAAAGAGCGCGUAGGCGGAUUGCUACGUCGGUGUCUGAAAUCCCCCGGCUCAACCGGGGAAGUGGAUCCGAUACGGGCAGUCUUGAGGGACGUAGGGGGGGGCUGGAACUUCCGGUGGAGCGGUGAAAUGCGUUGAGAUCGGAAGGAACGCCCGUGGCGAAAGCGACUCUCUGGACGGCAACUGACGCUGAGGCACGAAAGCGUGGGGAGCGAACAGG